rnacentral:rRNA from 1 species
AUUGAACGCUGGCGGAAUGCUUUACACAUGCAAGUCGAACGGUAGAGGGGGCAACCCCCUUGAGAGUGGCGAACGGGUGAGUAAUAUAUCGGAACGUGCCCAGUCGUGGGGAUAACGUAGCGAAAGUUACGCUAAUACCGCAUACGAUCUACGGAUGAAAGCGGGGGACUCGCAAGAGCCUCGCGCGAUUGGAGCGGCCGAUAUCAGAUUAGGUAGUUGGUGGGGUAAAGGCUCACCAAGCCAACGAUCUGUAGCUGGUCUGAGAGGACGACCAGCCACACUGGAACUGAGACACGGUCCAGACUCCUACGGGAGGCAGCAGUGGGGAAUUUUGGACAAUGGACGCAAGUCUGAUCCAGCCAUUCCGCGUGCAGGAUGAAGGCCCUCGGGUUGUAAACUGCUUUUGUACGGAACGAAAGGUUUCUAUUAAUACUAGGAGCUCAUGACGGUACCGUAAGAAUAAGCACCGGCUAACUACGUGCCAGCAGCCGCGGUAAAGUGACU